AUGAACGCUGGCGGCGUGCCUAAUCCAUGCCAGUCGAGCGCACAGACGAGGAGCUUGCUCCUCUGACGUUAGCGGCGGACGGGUGAGUAACACGUGGAUAACCUACCUAUAAGACUGGGAUAACUUCGGGAAACCGGAGCUAAUACCGGAUAAUAUAUUGAACCGCAUGGUUCAAUAGUGAAAGACGGUUUUGCUGUCACUUAUAGUUGGAUCCGCGCCGCAUUAGCUAGUUGGUAAGGUAACGGCUUACCAAGGCAACGAUGCGUAGCCGACCUGAGAGGGUGAUCGGCCACACUGGAACUGAGACACGGUCCAGACUCCUACGGGAGGCAGCAGUAGGGAAUCUUCCGCAAUGGGCGAAAGCCUGACGGAGCAACGCCGCGUGAGUGAUGAAGGUCUUCGGAUCGUAAAACUCUGUUAUUAGGGAAGAACAAAUGUGUAAGUAACUAUGCACGUCUUGACGGUACCUAAUCAGAAAGCCACGGCUAACUACGUG
rnacentral:rRNA from 1 species